AGCGAACGCUGGCGGCAGGCCUAACACAUGCAAGUCGAACGAACUCUUCGGAGUUAGUGGCGGAUGGGUGAGGAACACGUGGGAACGGGCCUUUUGGUUCGGAAUAACUCAGUGAAAUGUGUGCUAAUACCGAAUGUGCUCUGCGGGGGAAAGAUUUAUCGCCAUGAGAGCGGCCCGCGUCUGAUUAGCUAGUUGGUGAGGUAACGGCUCAUCAAGGCGACGAUCAGUAGCUGGGCUGAGAGGAUGACUAGCCACACUGGGACUGAGACACGGCCCAGACUCCUACGGGAGGCAGGAGUGGGGGAUCUAGCGCAAUGGGCGAAAGGCUGACGCAGCCAUGCCGCGUGAAUGAUGAAGGUCUUAGGAUUGUAAAAUUCUUUCACCGGGGACGAUAAUGACGGUACCCGGAGAAGAAGCCCCGGCUAACUUCGUG
rnacentral:rRNA from 1 species